rnacentral:rRNA from 1 species
UUAUCCGGAUUUAUUGGGUUUAAAGGGAGCGUAGGCGGGUGCUUAAGUCAGUUGUGAAAGUUUGCGGCUCAACCGUAAAAUUGCAGUUGAUACUGGGUACCUUGAGUGCAGCAUAGGUAGGCGGAAUUCGUGGUGUAGCGGUGAAAUGCUUAGAUAUCACGAAGAACUCCGAUUGCGAAGGCAGCUUACUGGACUGUAACUGACGCUGAUGCUCGAAAGUGUGGGUAUCAAACAGGAUUAGAUACCCUGGUAGUCCACACAGUAAACGAUGAAUACUCGCUGUUGGCGAUACACAGUCAGCGGCCAAGCGAAAGCAUUAAGUAUUCCACCUGGGGAGUACGCCGGCAACGGUGAAACUCAAAGGAAUUGACGGGGGCCCGCACAAGCGGAGGAACAUGUGGUUUAAUUCGAUGAUACGCGAGGAACCUUACCCGGGCUUAAAUUGCAGCGGAAUGUAUGGA